rnacentral:rRNA from 1 species
GCUCUGAGAGGAUGAUCCGCCACACUGGGACUGAGACACGGCCCAGACUCCUACGGGAGGCAGCAGUGGGGAAUUUUGGACAAUGGGCGCAAGCCUGAUCCAGCCAUGCCGCGUGUCUGAAGAAGGCCUUCGGGUUGUAAAGGACUUUUGUCAGGGAGGAAAUCCCUAGCGCUAAUAUCGCUGGGGGAUGACAGUACCUGAAGAAUAAGCACCGGCUAACUACGUGCCAGCAGCCGCGGUAAUACGUAGGGUGCAAGCGUUAAUCGGAAUUACUGGGCGUAAAGCGUGCGCAGGCGGUUGUGUAAGUCUGAUGUGAAAGCCCCGGGCUCAACCUGGGAACUGCAUUGGAGACUG